AUCCAGACUCCUACGGGAGGCAGCAGUGGGGGAUAUUGCACAAUGGGGGAACCCUGAUGCAGCGACGCCGCGUGGGUGAAGGAGUAUUUCGGUAUGUAAAGCCCUAUCGGCAGGGAAGAAGCAAGACGGUACCUGACUAAGAAGCCCCGGCUAACUACGUGCCAGCAGCCGCGGUAAUACGUAGGGGGCGAGCGUUAUCCGGAUUCACUGGGUGUAAAGGGAGCGUAGACGGCCAAGCAAGCCAGGGGUGAAAGCCCGGGGCCCAGCCCCGGGACUGCCCUUGGAACUGCUUGGCUGGAGUGCGGGAGGGGCAGGCGGAAUUCCUGGUGUAGCGGUGAAAUGCGUAGAUAUCAGGAGGAACACCGGCGGCGAAGGCGGCCUGCUGGACCGCUACUGACGUUGAGGCUCGAAAGCGUGGGGAGCGAACAGGAUUAGAUACCCCCGUAA
rnacentral:rRNA from 1 species